ACCCACUAUGUCAUAUAUGACAUAAACCUGUGCUUUAUAAAGGGUGACAUAAGCACUGCUUAAUAAAGGCCUUAUAAGUCAUUUUAAAAUGAGGCUUCUCAAAGCAUUUAUAACCCUGUCAUGCAUCUUGGUAGAGCAUUGCAACGCCAGAAUAGUGGAUUCGAUUCCUAGGACCACCCAUACGUAAAAAUUUAUUAAAUCAUGGCUGUAAGUUGCUUUGGAUAAAAGCGGCUGCUAAAUGUUAUAUAUUAUAUUACUAUUAAACAUUUCUAGGAUGACCCAACUUCUUUCCCUCUUGGGUGCAUAGUCAAUAUUGGACCUGACCUCAACUUUCCCCAAAUUACAUUGGUGAGGCCUUUUAAAAUCUGUUUAAAUGUUUUGCCUUCACCCAAAAUCAAUUUUCUCAGUUUUGUUUCUUAUUUUUUCACUCUUUUUUAAUAGAAAAACAACAUUUCAUUUUCUGUGUUCACAACAAUGCUUAAACCACUUCAGGAGAUGACUUUUGAGGUCUGUGAAAAAUCAAAGAAACUUAGAUGCUUGAGUGUAGUUGCCCUUUAAUUCAGUGUGCAUGCCCUGGCUGUUGUUUGGCUUGAGGGUUUUCUGUAGCACAGUAAUCGCACGUGAUGAUGGAAUGGCUGGAGUAAAAGGCCAGCAACAUUCGUAUUAUUCAGAGCCCCAUGAAAUGACACCAUAUAUACAUUCUACAGACCUUACUGAGAACUCUCUACAAUAAUUUUACUGUGGCACCCAAAACAGUUUUUGCUCUAUAAGCCAAUAUGUAUUACAUAUACAGUGAUUCGCAUUGGGAGCAUUUAUAUGACCUUGGAACAUGUUUUAAAACCCACAUUUAAUGCAAAUGGCACUUGAACAAAUAUGAAUCAUUGUUAAUGUUUAGACAAUUAUUUUUCAUAUCAUUAAUAAAUACAGGUUGUUGACACUUUUAUACUAUUAUGUGGUGGACUUUUAUUUUGGAAAUUUCAGAAAUUCCGUGACCUGGAAGUACUUUUUUAGUGUCGAUGACAAGAUGCUGAUCAUGUGAUGAGUUCGCAAAUCAAAUGCCCAAUUGUGGUGCCACCGGACAGCGAAAAACAAGUUGGAACCAACAUGCAGUACCUCCAGCAGGCAGAGAGGCAAGAACCAUUCGUCCACCAACUCAUGGACAAGCUACACUAUUUACAGCCCUGUGCAAUCUUCAAUGUAAUUGCAUUGCUGGACUUUUUGAAACAAUGUAUUUGUAUUGUUUUAAAAAUGUACAAGUGAAAGGAAAUGUAUGGUUUAAACAUGUCUUUAAUGUUUAUUUGCUUUAGCUGUUAGGGAUAAUUCCCUAAGUGUUAAUACAUUUGUGUUUACAUCAUUUAGCUUUUAUAUAUGUGUUAUGAAUGACCAAAGGUGUCUGACUUUAUAGUAAGUACAGCGUCAUAUGAUACAAUGCAUUUAUGGAUGUGUUAUGAAUGACUGAAGGUGUCUCACUUCAAAUUAAGUAUUACAGGAUACUACAUAAAGUGUCAAUAAAUAGGUUAUUAACGUUC